UCCCUGGUAGUCUAGUGGUUAAGACUCGGAGCUCCCAAUUCAGGGGGUCUGGUUUCAAUCCCUGGUCAGGGAA
rnacentral:tRNA from 1 species